rnacentral:snoRNA from 1 species
AUGUCUCCAGCACUAGCUCUGCAUAAUGUGGCAGCAGCUGAGGGAACCAGGUUUGCUGGAGUAAUUGUGGUAGCAAUGUACCAACCUCAGAAGCUACUGAGAUGUCCAUUCUGUCACAGUACAGUC